UACGUAGGGUGCGAGCGUUAAUCGGAAUUACUGGGCGUAAAGCGUGCGCAGGCGGUUUUGUAAGCCAGGUGUGAAAUCCCCGGGCUCAACCUGGGAAUGGCAUUUGGGACUGCAAGGCUGGAGUGCGGCAGAGGAGACUGGAAUUCCUGGUGUAGCAGUGAAAUGCGUGGAUAUCAGGAGGAACACCGAUGGCGAAGGCAGGUCUCUGGGCUGACACUGACGCUCAUGCACGAAAGCGUGGGGAGCAAACAGG
rnacentral:rRNA from 1 species